rnacentral:lncRNA from 1 species
CUCCAGGGCUCCCUGCAGCACUCUCAAAUGAGGUUUGCCACUCUUGGGAGCAACAGACACAUGUCUGUGGCCUCUGCUCACUUGUGUCUAUCCCGAUGCAGGACUCCGACAUGAUGAAUAUGAUUGCGUUUAGAGGCAAAAACAAAUUUACUCGAUGCAGUGAGGAAGGCUGUAUCAUACUGCCAAGAAUUGUAGUUGAGGGCUCGAAGACAUAUGAAGGCACAACUUCCCUCAAGCCCCGAAGAGAGUCGCAGCCAUGGGGCGAAGGUGCCCGUAGAGUGAGCGUGUAUGAUCCGGUGAUGCUGGCUCGGCGCAGGGCAUCGCAAGUCAUGAUGUCACAGAAAAGACGCAAGGAGCUAGAGAAGAAAAAGCAAAGGGUUAAAUUCAGGUGAGCCUCCUGGAGAAGU